rnacentral:rRNA from 1 species
UCAGUCAGCGCAGCGUAAUAAUAGAAACUAACCAGGAUUCCCUUAGUAACGGCGAGUGAACUGGGAUGCCAAUAUAUAAUAUGUACCUCGCGUGCAUAAAUUAGCCCGUCGAUACUAUCCUAGCGUAUGUCACCGGUCUUCGGGUCGGUACUCAAAUACGCGGGAAUUGUAGCAUCGUAAUAAUUAAAAAUAUACAGCACACACACACACACACACACACAUAAGAACCCACGCCAACCUGCGUACACCACUUGUAAACACACAGCGUCUCCGCGUUGGAAAGCAAGUAUAUAUCCUCUUUGGAUAUGCCAUAGAGUGUGACAGUCACGUUUCACCCAUAUGAUAGUUACGCACACACACACACACAUACACCAAUGGCGCGGCGUGCGAGUGCACAACGUAUAUAUACUAUAUCCUGAGUCGAGUUAUUUGGGACUAUAGCUCUAAUAGUUUGGUUGGUGGUAAUGACACAUCAAAGGCUAAAUAUUGGUUAGUCGAUGCAUAUUGCGGAGACCGAUAGCAUACAAGUACCGUAAGGGAACGAUGAAAAGCACCCUAUUGAGUUCACGGCGCAGACUCGACAUUCGUGUCUUGUCCAGCGCCCAUCAACUACAGUGGGAGUGAAAGAGAGAGU